rnacentral:tRNA from 1 species
ACCUUGCUGGCCCAACCAGUAGAGCAUAUGACUCUUGAUCUUGGGGUCAUGAGUUUGAGCCCCAUGUUGGGUA